rnacentral:lncRNA from 1 species
AUGACCCUGUCGAGAGCGGCAGUGGAAAAUAUAGAGGAUCCACCUUCUGUUAAUGAUAUGUGGGAGGCCUUUCUUAACGGUACAGAUGAUAUCGCUGGUACAGAGACCUCAGUAUGCGAUGCGUGGCAGGCAUUUCUUAAUGGGCCAAGCUGUACGAACCGCUCGGGCGUUCGAGAGUCAGAGUGGCUGCAGACAGCGGCGUCGGUGUCUCCCUCAAACGAUAACGGGGCCAAGACCAAAUAUGCAGCAAGCAGUCAAGAGCAGGAAUCUCAGGUGGGCGCGGAUACACCCACCACCUUACACGGGCAAACCUCGGCAGCAUGUCAGCCGCUGCCAGAAACAUCGCCGGCUAAUGUCGCCUUGAACACUGCGGACCACCAGCCAGCAGAGGCAUGUGUCAGCAGCCCACGAGAUGACGACACGACGACACGAGAUGCCUUCCAAAGGUCAGAGACAAACUCCGUAACAGACACUCCGCAGGAAUUUAGCCUCGAGGGGGCAACGCCUGUGUCCAAGGGCUCUGUUGACAGUUCAGCGGAGUGUCACAAGCAAGCGACGUGGGAGCGAGAAAGAGACGGAAUAAUAGAAAGUGCAGAAGGAAUAGGACAGGAUGAGCCCUUCACGCCGAACACAGCCGACUUCGUAACAAGCUCAGGGGAGUUGGAGACAACAGACAUGACAGCAGAGCCAGAGUCUCAGAAUGCCAGCACCGUUGAUAGGAUCUCACAGGGAGCAAGGCUGGCUGAGGGUCUUUCUUCCAGCGGGGAAGGGCAGGGUACGGGUACCUCGCACAAUGCGACGGAUGACACGCUGGCAUUUAGGGGGACAAUCAGACAGGGGACAAAGGAUGGGGAGAGGUUUGUCUUUUCCACAUCCAGACAAGGAGCCGAGGAAGGGAUGGCGAAGGGCUGCACAGAAAAUGAAGUAGUUACAGGAGAGGAGAUAUUUAGGCCACAGGAAACAGAGGAGUGUGAAAUCUCCCAGAGGUAUGCAGAUGGAAAGCAUCGUGAGGAAUUCAGGCUGAACCGAAACAGUGAAAAUCCAUUAGAGGAGAAUGAGAGCGGCGAAGAUGAAACAAGGCCUGCACAGUCACACGCAGAUGAAUUCAAUCCGGACCAGACCUGCGACGAGACAUUUGAGCGAAGCCAAACAAUGGCAAGAAAAUUCAAAUUGGGGGAAUCAGAGAAUGACGAUGCCGCAUGGCAAAAGGAAGGCUUGGAAGUAUUCAGAGAGGCACAGGUGGACACUUCCUGCUGUGCAACGAGUGAAGAAACAACGAGACUAAUUGGUGCAGAAGUGGGAAUUACUCAGGUGUUAAAUGAGGAUGCAUGGCAGCGUAAUGACGGAACACAUGAUGAACAGACAAGGUCAGUCCAAGCAGGGGAAGUGGGGGACAGUGUUGGACAAAAGUCUGAAACAGGUGAACAUGCAUUAGCCUCAGAUCAGACAGAGGAAGGAAAAUGCUCGAGUUCUGAGAGAAUAAUUGAGGAGAGACAGGAAAUAAACCUUCCAACAAAGACAAGAAUCAGAUAUGACCAUGACACAUCUCCUACAGAUAAAUGUAACCCACAUCCGGUAGAGAAGGCAGAAAUGAGACAAACCCAUUCACAGGACAAUCUGAAGGAUCAGAGAGAGGACGCGGGUCACGAAAUAAGCCCCGAAGAAGUUACGGCGAAGGAGACCGGCGCGAAGAGAAACACUUCAACAGACCUUCAACGCCGAGCGGAGACGUUAGAGAGAAUAGAGGAAGAUAUGAGUCAGAGAGACAAAGAUGAGAGGGUGAGUAUUGGAAAGCUGAAAAUAGAAGCACCGGGGGAGUUGAUGGGUAAUGUGGGCAACCCUCAGGGGGAGAGGAGGAGUGCACCAGCUCAAUUGAAAGAACAAGAGUUGUCAGCGGAAGUCGAGAGCUCUCCACGUGUUGAAUGUAAAAAAUUGUCAGAGGGAACAAAAGACCCUCUUACAGCAGAAAAUACCGCACCACUCCAGGUGAUAGAGUCUGGAGUGGAGGAGACGUUCGUAGAACGAUUCGGAGAAGAUUUGGUCAGGAGGAUUUGGGAGGAGGUGUUUGAUCUGAAGGCGCAGGCCUCUGACAGAGACGCAAAUUUUGAUGAUGGAAUGGUGGGCGAGCUCGUAGACACAGCUGAUAUCACACUCGAUCGCCAUCUUCCCUUUGAGAAAGACUCUGAUGAUGCUUUUGAUUCAGGUGUGUUUUCCUUGACAGAACUGCCACCUGAUCCAAAUUCGAGCCUCUGUCGAGGCCUAGAGCAAACCAUAGCGACCGAGAGCAACGAAUACUCCCCAAAUGAAAAAAGUCAGUCGCUUUACACAAUAGAACAAACUCACUUACUCCCAGAAUCUCAGGCUGAUUCGGACUCAAGUGCUCCUCUCAGUCAAGAUCUCAUUUUAGCGGCUGGGAGAAGGUUGACCGAAUCUGCCCAAAGCUCUCCGAGUGAUCAGGGAAACUGCGCUCAAAUAAAAGCACCAUCAGUCACCCGUCAGGGGACAGGCAGACAAAUAGAAGAGAGCGCAGUAGCCCACAAGGAGAGAUUUAAUCAAUCAGUUCCCCGAGAGAGAUCCCCCUCUGAGACACUAAAAGAGUCCGAUAGUCUUGUUUGGUGGAGUGUGUUAUACAUCCUCAGUCACGUCAUCCGACUUUUAAUCUGCGCCCUCUUGGUCGCUGGGUUCUUCCUCGUCGUUUUCAUGUGGGAUUUCCCAGCAUUCUCCGCGCUCUACGGAUUUUCAUUGAGCUGGUGGUUUUAUAAAUGGAAGAGGCAUCGAGUGAUGGGAAACAAGGGGAUGGUGGGAUAG